rnacentral:misc_RNA from 1 species
GUAGGUGAACCUGCGGAAGGAUCAUUACCGAGUGAGGGCCCUCUGGGUCCAACCUCCCACCCGUGUUUAUUUUACCUUGUUGCUUCGGCGGGCCCGCCUUAACUGGCCGCCGGGGGGCUCACGCCCCCGGGCCCGCGCCCGCCGAAGACACCCUCGAACUCUGUCUGAAGAUUGAAGUCUGAGUGAAAAUAUAAAUUAUUUAAAACUUUCAACAACGGAUCUCUUGGUUCCGGCAUCGAUGAAGAACGCA